GCGGCGUGGAUAAGACAUGCAAGUCGAACGAGAGAAUUGCUAGCUUGCUAAUAAUUCUCUAGUGGCGCACGGGUGAGUAACACGUGAGUAACCUGCCCCCGAGAGCGGGAUAGCCCUGGGAAACUGGGAUUAAUACCGCAUAGUAUCGAAAGAUUAAAGCAGCAAUGCGCUUGGGGAUGGGCUCGCGGCCUAUUAGUUAGUUGGUGAGGUAACGGCUCACCAAGGCGAUGACGGGUAGCCGGUCUGAGAGGAUGUCCGGCCACACUGGAACUGAGACACGGUCCAGACACCUACGGGUGGCAGCAGUCGAGAAUCAUUCACAAUGGGGGAAACCCUGAUGGUGCGACGCCGCGUGGGGGAAUGAAGGUCUUCGGAUUGUAAACCCCUGUCAUGUGGGAGCAAAUUAAAAAGAUAGUACCACAAGAGGAAGAGACGGCUAACUCUGUGCCAGCAGCCGCGGUAAUACAGAGGUCUCAAGCGUUGUUCGGAAUCACUGGGCGUAAAGCGUGCGUAGGCUGUUUCGUAAGUCGUGUGUGAAAGGCGCGGGCUCAACCCGCGGACGGCACAUGAUACUGCGAGACUAGAGUAAUGGAGGGGGAACCGGAAUUCUCGGUGUAGCAGUGAAAUGCGUAGAUAUCGAGAGGAACACUCGUGGCGAAGGCGGGUUCCUGGACAUUAACUGACGCUGAGGCACGAAGGCCAGGGGAGCGAAAGGGAUUAGAUACCCCUGUAGUCCUGGCAGUAAACGGUGCACGCUUGGUGUGCGGGGAAUCGACCCCCUGCGUGCCGGAGCUAACGCGUUAAGCGUGCCGCCUGGGGAGUACGGUCGCAAGAUUAAAACUCAAAGAAAUUGACGGGGACCCGCACAAGCGGUGGAGUAUGUGGCUUAAUUCGAUGCAACGCGAAGAACCUUACCUGGGCUUGACAUGUAAUGAACAACAUGUGAAAGCAUGCGACUCUUCGGAGGCGUUACACAGGUGCUGCAUGGCCGUCGUCAGCUCGUGUCGUGAGAUGUUUGGUUAAGUCCAGCAACGAGCGCAACCCCUGUUGCCAGUUACCAGCACGUGAAGGUGGGGACUCUGGCGAGACUGCCCAGAUCAACUGGGAGGAAGGUGGGGACGACGUCAGGUCAGUAUGGCCCUUAUGCCCAGGGCUGCACACGUACUACAAUGCCCAGUACAGAGGGGGCCGAAGCCGCGAGGCGGAGGAAAUCCUGAAAACUGGGCCCAGUUCGGACUGUAGGCUGCAACCCGCCUACACGAAGCCGGAAUCGCUAGUAAUGGCGCAUCAGCUACGGCGCCGUGAAUACGUUCCCGGGUCUUGUACACACCGCCCGUCACAUCAUGGAAGCCGGUCGCACCCGAAGUAUCUGAAGCCAACCGCAAGGAGGCAGGGUCCUAAGGUGAGACUGGUAACUGGGAUGAA
rnacentral:rRNA from 1 species